AACGAACGCUGGCGGCGCGUUUAAGCAUGCAAGUCGAACGGUAGUGGUAGCAAUACCAUUAGAGUGGCGCACGGGUGAGUAAGACGUAGGUGAUCUACCUCUGGGUGGGGGAUAGUCCAUGGAAACAUGGGGUAAUACCGCAUGAAGCCCUUCUGGUAAAGUGGGAGGGUUAAAGGAGCAAUUGUUCCGCCUGGGGAUGAGCCUGCGGUCCAUUAGCUAGUUGGCGGGGUAAGAGCCCACCAAGGCUACGAUGGAUAGCCGGCCUGAGAGGGUGUACGGCCACACUGGGACUGAGACACGGCCCAGACUCCUACGGGAGGCAGCAGCUAAGAAUCUUCCGCAAUGGGGGAAACCCUGACGGAGCGACGCCGCGUGGGCGAUGAAGGCCGGAAGGUUGUAAAGCCCUUUUCUUGGCGAAGAAUAAGGCUGGGGAUGGACUACCCAGCUGAUGACGUUAGCCGAGGAAUAAGCCCCGGCCAAUUACGUGCCAGCCGCCGCAGUAACAC
rnacentral:rRNA from 1 species